UCCUUGAUGGCUCAGAUGGUAAAGCAUCUGCCUACAAUGCGGGAGACCCGGGUUUGAUCCCUGGAUUGGGAA
rnacentral:tRNA from 1 species